rnacentral:rRNA from 1 species
UCUAAUCCUGUUCGCUCCCCACGCUUUCGUCCAUGAGCGUCAGUAUAUUAUUAGUGAUCUGCCUUCGCAAUCGGUAUUCUGUGUGAUAUCUAUGCAUUUCACCGCUACACCACACAUUCUAACCACUUCAUAAUAACUCAAGUCUUUCAGUAUCAAAGGCCGUUCUACAGUUGAGCUGUAGGCUUUCACCUCUGACUUAAAAGACCGCCUGCGGACCCUUUAAACCCAAUGAUUCCGGAUAACGCUCGGACCCUCCGUAUUACCGCGGCUGCUGGCACGGAGUUAGCCGGUCCUUAUUCUUACAGUACCGUCAAGCUCGUACACGUACGAGUGUUUCUUCCUGUAUAAAAGCAGUUUACAACCCAUAGGGCUUUCAUCCUGCACGCGGCAUGGCUGGAUCAGACUUUCGUCCAUUGUCCAAUAUUCCUUACUGCUGCCUCCCGUAGGAGUCUGGUCCGUGUCUCAGUACCAGUGUGGGGGAUCCCCCUCUCAGGGCCCCUACCUAUCGUAGUCUAGGUGAGCCGUUACCUCACCUACAAACUAAUAGGACGCAUGCUCAUCUUUUACCGUUAAAACUUUAAUCUAAAAGUCAUGAAACUUAAAGAUAUUAUAGAGGAUUAAUCCAAAUUUCUCUGGGCUAUACUCUAGUAAAAGGUAGAUUGCAUACGCGUUACGCACCCGUGCGCCACUCGUCAUCUGGUGCAAGCACCAAUGUUACCGUUCGACUUGCAUGUAUUAGGCCUGCCGCUAGCGUUCAUCCUGAGCCAGGAUCAAACUCU